rnacentral:rRNA from 1 species
AGCGAACGCUGGCGGCAGGCCUAACACAUGCAAGUCGAACGAACUCUUCGGAGUUAGUGGCGGACGGGUGAGUAACACAUGGGAACGUGCCUUUAGGUUCGGAAUAACUCAGGGAAACUUGUGCUAAUACCGAAUGUGCCCUUCGGGGGAAAGAUUUAUCGCCUUUAGAGCGGCCCGCGUCUGAUUAGCUAGUUGGUGAGGUAAAGGCUCACCAAGGCGACGAUCAGUAGCUGGUCUGAGAGGAUGAUCAGCCACAUUGGGACUGAGACACGGCCCAAACUCCUACGGGAGGCAGCAGUGGGGAAUCUUGCGCAAUGGGCGAAAGCCUGACGCAGCCAUGCCGCGUGAAUGAUGAAGGUCUUAGGAUUGUAAAAUUCUUUCACCGGGGACGAUAAUGACGGUACCCGGAGAAGAAGCCCCGGCUAACUUCGUG